UCUGACCUCGGAUCAGGUGGGACUACCCGCUGAACUUAAGCA
rnacentral:rRNA from 1 species